GGGACUAGAGGAGGUGUUAUAGUCUGGUGUGGGACUAGAGGAGGUGUUAUAGUCUGGUAUGGGACUAGAGGAGGUGUUAUAGUCUGGUAUGGGACUAGAGGAGGUGUUAUAGUCUGGUAUGGGACUAGAGGAGGUGUUAUAGUCUGGUAUGGGACUAGAGGA